rnacentral:miRNA from 1 species
CGCCUGGCUCCCUGUAUGCCA